rnacentral:rRNA from 1 species
GACGAACGCUGGCGGCGUGCCUAAUACAUGCAAGUAGAACGCUGAAGCUUGGUGCUUGCACCGAGCGGAUGAGUUGCGAACGGGUGAGUAACGCGUAGGUAACCUGCCUGGUAGCGGGGGAUAACUAUUGGAAACGAUAGCUAAUACCGCAUAAGAGUAGAUGUUGCAUGACAUUUGCUUAAAAGGUGCAAUUGCAUCACUACCAGAUGGACCUGCGUUGUAUUAGCUAGUUGGUGAGGUAACGGCUCACCAAGGCGACGAUACAUAGCCGACCUGAGAGGGUGAUCGGCCACACUGGGACUGAGACACGGCCCAGACUCCUACGGGAGGCAGCAGUAGGGAAUCUUCGGCAAUGGACGGAAGUCUGACCGAGCAACGCCGCGUGAGUGAAGAAGGUUUUCGGAUCGUAAAGCUCUGUUGUAAGAGAAGAAACGAG